rnacentral:lncRNA from 1 species
CUGACAGUUUGGCUUCCCUGUUCCAGGUGGCAAAGCCUGUGGGGUAUUCACCUACCUGCUGCAUGAAGGCAGCAUGGAGGGACUGUGGUGGAUUAUCUGCAAAGAUGGCCCAAAUUCUCUCAUCCCUGCAGGUACAUACAAGAUGGUGCCUGGUGUUCGAAGGGAGAACUUGUGGGCAGAGCAGGAAGCGUGAGUAUGGUUGAAGGAUCAAAUAUUUGGUUCAGGCGUCAGGGAGCCAGCAAGACUAUGAUGCUGGGAAACACAAGUGAUGUACUGUUGGAUUUAAUCUACUUGGAAAAAACCUAGGAAAACCAAAGUGUCAUCAACUAACACCUGAAAUGCCUCAGCACCAUCUGUCUACAACAUUAAACAAAACCCAGGAGAUUCUGGGAGAAAGAAAAUAGGAAAUUUAAUGAUGAACUUAACCUGAGUAACUUGAUAAAUGUUACCUUUGUGGCUAGCCGUUCACCAGCAAGUCCCUAAAAUGACCUGAAACCUGAAGAGUGUUUCACCCAUGAAAGGGUUUGCUCUCUCUGGCAUGGCUACCCAGCACAUGUUAGUCAACUUUCUUUCCCUUGCAGGGUCCCUUGGAAAACUACUUUUAAUCAUUCAUUAACUCAGCUCCACUCCUGCCCUUUCCCGUGGACCAUAUUUUCUUUGAGCAAUUAAAACUUAUAAGACACCAAAA